rnacentral:rRNA from 1 species
UAGGGAAUCUUCCACAAUGGACGCAAGUCUGAUGGAGCAACGCCGCGUGAGUGAAGAAGGUCUUCGGAUCGUAAAGCUCUGUUGUUGGUGAAGAAGGAUAGAGGCAGUAACUGGUCUUUAUUUGACGGUAAUCAACCAGAAAGUCACGGCUAACUACGUGCCAGCAGCCGCGGUAAUACGUAGGUGGCAAGCGUUGUCCGGAUUUAUUGGGCGUAAAGCGAGCGCAGGCGGAAUGAUAAGUCUGAUGUGAAAGCCCACGGCUCAACCGUGGAACUGCAUCGGAAACUGUCAUUCUUGAGUGCAGAAGAGGAGAGUGGAACUCCAUGUGUAGCGGUGGAAUGCGUAGAUAUAUGGAAGAACACCAGUGGCGAAGGCGGCUCUCUGGUCUGCAACUGACGCUGAGGCUCGAAAGCAUGGGUAGCGAACAGGAUUAGAUACCCUGGUAGUCCAUGCCGUAAACGAUGAGCGCUAGGUGUUGGGGACUUUCCGGUCCUCAGUGCCGCAGCAAACGCAUUAAGCGCUCCGCCUGGGGAGUACGACCGCAAGGUUGAAAC